rnacentral:rRNA from 1 species
GGUGGCGAGUGGCGAACGGGUGAGUAACAUAUCGGAACGUGCCCAGUAGUGGGGGAUAGCCCGGCGAAAGCCGGAUUAAUACCGCAUACGACCUACGGGUGAAAGCGGGGGAUCGCAAGACCUCGCGCUAUUGGAGCGGCCGAUAUCAGAUUAGCUAGUUGGCGGGGUAAAAGCCACCAAGGCGACGAUCUGUAGCUGGUCUGAGAGGACGACCAGCCACACUGGGACUGAGGCACGGCCCAGACUCCUACGGGAGGCAGCAGUGGGGAAUUUUGGACAAUGGGCGCAAGCCUGAUCCAGCCAUGCCGCGUGUGGGAGGAAGGCCUUCGGGUUGUAAACCACUUUUGUCAGGGAAGAAACGGUUGGAUCUAAUACAUUCGACUAAUGACGGUACCUGAAGAAUAAGCACCGGCUAACUACGUGCCAGCAGCCGCGGUAAUACGUAGGGUGCAAGCGUUAGUCGGAAUUACUGGGCGUAAAGCGUGCGCAGGCGGCUUUGCAAGACAGAUGUGAAAUCCCCGGGCUCAACCUGGGAACUGCAUUUGUGACUGCAAGGCUAGAGUACGGUAGAGGGGGAUGGGAUUCCGCGUGUAGCAGUGAAAUGCGUAGAUAUGCGGAGGAACACCGAUGGCGAAGGCAAUCCCCUGGACCUGUACUGACGCUCAUGCACGAAAGCGUGGGGAGCAAACAGGAUUAGAUACCCUGGUAGUCCACGCCCUAAACGAUGUCAACUGGUUGUUGGACGGCUUGCUGUUCAGUAACGAAGCUAACGCGUGAAGUUGACCGCCUGGGGAGUACGGCCGCAAGGUUGAAACUCAAGGGAAUUGACGGGGACCCGCACAAGCGGUGGAUGAUGUGGUUUAAUUCGAUGCAACGCGAAAAACCUUACCUACCCUUGACAUGUCUAGAAGUUACCAGAGAUGGUUUCGUGCUCGAAAGAGAACUAGAACACAGGUGCUGCAUGGCCGUCGUCAGCUCGUGUCGUGAGAUGUUGGGUUAAGUCCCGCAACGAGCGCAACCCUUAUCAUUAGUUGCUACGCAAGGGCACUCUAAUGAGACUGCCGGUGACAAACCGGAGGAAGGUGGGGAUGACGUCAGGUCAUCAUGGCCCUUAUGGGUAGGGCUACACACGUCAUACAAUGGCCGGUACAGAGGGCUGCCAACCCGCGAGGGGGAGCUAAUCUCAGAAAACCGGUCGUAGUCCGGAUCGCAGUCCGCAACUCGACUGCGUGAAGUCGGAAUCGCUAGUAAUCGCGGAUCAGCUUGCCGCGGUGAAUACGUUCCCGGGUCUUGUACACACCGCCCGUCACACCAUGGGAGCGGGUUCUGCCAGAAGUAGUUAGCCUAACCGCAAGGAGGGCGAUUACCACGGCAGGGUUCGUGACUGGGGUGAAGUCGG